UACGUAGGGUGCAAGCGUUGUCCGGAAUUAUUGGGCGUAAAGAGCUCGUAGGCGGUCUGUCACGUCGGGUGUGAAAGCCCGGGGCUUAACCCCCGGGUCUGCAUUCGAUACGGGCAGGCUAGAGUGUGGUAGGGGGAGAUCGGAAUUCCUGGUGUAGCGGUGAAAUGCGCAGAUAUCAGGAGGAACACCGGUGGCGAAGGCGGAUCUCUGGGCCAUUACUGACGCUGAGGAGCGAAAGCGUGGGUAGCGAACAGG
rnacentral:rRNA from 1 species